CCUACGGGUGGCAGCAGUGAGGAAUAUUGGUCAAUGGCCGGAAGGCUGAACCAGCCAAGCCGCGUGAGGGAGGAAGGCGCAGAGCGUCGCAGACCUCUGUUGCCGGGGGACAAAAGGCCGGACUCGUCCGGUCCUGAGGGUACCCGGAGAAAAAGCAUCGGCUAACCCCGUGCCAGCAGCCGCGGUAAUACGGAGGAUGCGAGCGUUAUCCGGAUUCAUUGGGUUUCAAGGGUGCGCAGGCGGGCCUUUAAGCCGGCGGGGAAAUCGCGGGGCUCACCCCCGCCGAGCCGUCGGAACUGGGGGCCUUUCGUGCGGCGGAGGCAUGCGGAAUGCGCGGUGUAGCGGUGACCUGCAUAGAUAUCGCGCAGAACCCCGAUUGCGAAGGCAGCGUGCCGUGCCGCCCCUGACGCUGAGGCACGAAAGCGCGGGGAUCGAACAGGAUUAGAUACCCGGGUAGUC
rnacentral:rRNA from 1 species